GCGAACUGCGAACCGCGAACUGCGAACUGGUAAAAUGCGAACUUUUUUGCGAACCAUGGUUCUAUUGGUUGUUAAUGAUGUAAUACUUUAUUUUCCGUUUGCCGUUAAAUUGUUUAUUUUCCAAAAUAUUUUAAGGACUACACGCAAAAGCAUUUAUUUAAAAAAACAAAUUGAGUAAAACUAGUAUGAAAAAAGAAAACUGCGAAAAAAACAGAUACUUAAGAUGAAAAAGUGAAUAGUAAAAAAAAUCUGUAAAAAAUGUAUAAUGAAGAAAUAGUUCUUUGUUUAUACUUCUUCUACAGAUUCAUAUAUUAUAACGAAGAUUCAUAAAAAAGGGAUAUGAUAUUAAAAAAAACAACAUUCAAGGCAUUAACUUUAGCUAUCAAAUCUUUUAUUUCGUCUGGAUUAGCAUCUCCUGCUGGAAUAACUUCAAUAUCAAGUGUUCUUGGUCUUUUUCUUCCUCCUGUUUUGUCAGAUUUUUUUCUUGUAUUUCGACGAAGUUGUGUUA